rnacentral:snRNA from 1 species
AUACUUACCUGGUGGGAGAGAUACCAUGAUCACGAAGGUGGUUUUCCCAGGGUGAGGUUUAUCUAUUGCAGUCCGGAUGUGCUGACCCCUGUGAUUUCCCCAAAUGUGGGAAACUCAACUGCAUAAUUUGUAGUAGUGGGGUACUGUGUUCAUGUUCUCUCU